CCUGGUAAAGCCUCUGCGGUGGAGGCGGCGGUUUGUGGAACCGCACGGCUCGGUUCGAAUCCGAGUGCCAGGCCCA
rnacentral:tRNA from 1 species